UACGAAGGGGGCUAGCGUUGUUCGGAAUUACUGGGCGUAAAGCGCGCGCAGGCGGCUAUCCAAGUCAGUGGUGAAAGCCCGGAGCUCAACUCCGGAACUGCCAUUGAAACUGUUUAGCUUGAGGACGAGAGAGGUGAGUGGAAUUCCCAGUGUAGAGGUGAAAUUCGUAGAUAUUGGGAAGAACACCGGUGGCGAAGGCGAGCUCACGUGCUCGUAUCUGACGCUCAGGCGCGACAGCGUGGGGAUCAAACAGG
rnacentral:rRNA from 1 species